AUUCAACACCGAAACACCCCCCACCUCCCCGCUCACUCUCCCUCCCUCCCGCUCCCUUUCUUCGAUCUGUAGGGCUCGUGAAUUUCGAUCUCUGAUUUCCUGGUUCCGAUCGAAGCUACUGUAUUAUCAAAUCCGCAAAAGAUGCCUCUCAGACUGGAAAUCAAGAGAAAGCUUGCUCAAAGAUCAGAAAGAGUAAAGUCUGCUGAUCUGCAUCCCACAGAACCAUGGAUUCUUGCGAGUUUGUAUUCAGGAACCGUGUGUAUCUGGAACUACCAAUCACAGACCAUGGCAAAGUCUUUUGAGGUUACGGAGCUACCAGUUAGGUCAGCCAAGUUUAUAGCACGCAAGCAAUGGGUUGUUGCUGGAGCUGAUGACAUGUUUAUUCGUGUAUACAAUUACAACACAAUGGAUAAGAUAAAAGUAUUUGAGGCACACACAGAUUACAUUAGGUGUGUGGCUGUCCAUCCUACCCUUCCAUAUGUGCUGUCAUCAUCUGAUGAUAUGCUCAUAAAGCUUUGGGAUUGGGAAAAAGGUUGGGUCUGUACUCAGAUUUUUGAGGGACAUUCCCAUUACGUGAUGCAAGUGACGUUUAAUCCAAAAGACACCAAUACAUUUGCUAGUGCAUCACUCGAUCGCACCAUAAAGAUUUGGAAUCUUGGCUCCCCCGACCCAAAUUUUACAUUGGAUGCCCAUCAGAAAGGUGUUAAUUGUGUUGAUUACUUUACUGGUGGUGAUAAACCUUAUCUAAUUACUGGUUCUGACGAUCACACUGCUAAGGUGUGGGAUUAUCAGACCAAAAGCUGUGUCCAGACACUAGACGGCCACACACACAAUGUCUCUGCAGUAUGUUUUCAUCCUGACCUUCCUAUAAUAAUAACUGGUUCUGAAGAUGGAACAGUUCGAAUAUGGCAUUCCACCACUUAUAGGCUUGAAAACACAUUGAAUUAUGGUCUUGAAAGAGUUUGGGCUAUUGGAUAUAUGAAAGGUUCUCGUCGGGUUGUGAUUGGUUAUGAUGAAGGAACCAUUAUGGUGAAGCUUGGUCGAGAAGAACCUGUUGCUAGUAUGGACAACAGUGGAAAAAUCAUUUGGGCUAAGCAUAAUGAAAUUCAAACCGUGAACAUUAAGAGUGUGGGAGCAGAUUUGGAGGUUGCUGAUGGAGAAAGACUGCCUUUGGCUGUAAAGGAAUUGGGAACCUGUGACCUUUAUCCACAGAACUUGAAGCACAACCCCAAUGGGAGGUUUGUUGUUGUCUGCGGAGAUGGCGAGUACAUUAUCUAUACAGCUUUGGCAUGGAGAAACAGAUCAUUUGGUUCGGCUUUGGAAUUUGCUUGGUCGUCAGAUGGAGAAUAUGCUGUUAGAGAAAGCACAUCAAAGAUCAAGAUUUUCAGUAAAAAUUUCCAGGAGAAAAGGAGCGUGCGUCCAACCUUCUCGGCUGAUCGUAUUUAUGGGGGAGCUUUAUUGGCAAUGUGCUCAAAUGAUUUUAUUUGUUUCUAUGAUUGGGCUGAAUGCAGGUUGAUUCGACGAAUUGAUGUUAAUGUGAAAAACCUCUAUUGGGCUGAUAGUGGAGAUUUGGUGGCAAUUGCCAGUGAUACAUCAUUCUACAUCCUGAAGUACAGUAGGGACGUAGUUUCUUCUUAUUUUGAUAGUGGAAGACCUGUAGAUGAGCAAGGUGUUGAGGAUGCCUUUGAACUUCUUCAUGAAGUGAAUGAACGUGUCAGAACUGGUUUAUGGGUUGGGGAUUGUUUCAUUUAUAACAACUCCUCCUGGAGGCUCAAUUACUGUGUUGGUGGUGAGGUGACAACAAUGUUUCAUUUGGACCGGCCAAUGUAUUUGUUGGGUUAUCUUGCGGGUCAAAGUCGGGUGUAUCUAAUUGACAAAGAGUUCAACGUUAUUGGAUACACAUUACUUGUUAGCUUGAUUGAGUAUAAGACUCUUGUGAUGCGUGGAGACCUAGAAAGGGCCAGUGAAGUGUUACCGUCAAUCCCGAAGGAGCAUCAUAAUAGUGUGGCUCGUUUCUUGGAAUCGCGUGGAAUGAUUGAGGAUGCUCUUGAAGUAGCCACAGACCCUGAUUAUAGAUUCGAGCUGGCCAUACAGCUUGGAAGAUUAGAGGUUGCAAAGAGCAUUGCCUCAGAAGUGCAGAGUGAGUCUAAAUGGAAGCAGUUGGGAGAAUUGGCUAUGUCCACUGGAAAGUUAGAAAUGGCUGAGGAAUGUUUAAAGCAUGCAAUGGACUUGAGUGGUUUAUUGCUGCUCUAUUCUUCUUUAGGUGAUGCUGAAGGGAUAUCACAACUUGCAUCCCGUGCUAAAGAGCAGGGGAAGAACAAUGUUGCAUUUCUUUGCUUAUUCAUGUUGGGUAAAUUAGAAGAGUGUCUUCAGCUGUUGUUGGAAAGCAAUCGGAUACCUGAGGCUGCCUUGAUGGCACGAUCUUAUCUUCCAAGCAAGGUCUCAGAGAUAGUUGCAAUUUGGAGAAAGGACCUCAAUAAGGUUAAUCCAAAAGCUGCCGAAUCUUUAGCUGAUCCUGAGGAGUAUCCUAAUUUGUUUGAGGAUUGGCAAGUUGCUCUUUCUGUAGAGUCCAGAGUUGCCGAGACGAGGGGUGUUUAUCCUCCGGCACGUGAAUAUGUUGACCAUGCUGAUAGAUCACACCACACACUUGUGGAAGCUUUUAGAACCAUGCAAGUGGAUGAUGAGGAACCCCUUGAAAAUGGAGACGCAAAUCAUGAGAAUGGAGAGGAACAGAAUGCAGAGGAACACAAUGGUGAAGAAGAAAGCCAAGAGGAGGCUGUCGUAGUGGAUGCUGAUUCAACAGAUGGUGCGGUACUCGUUAAUGGUAACGAGGCUGAAGAAGAGUGGGGUACGAAUAAUGAAGGAACCCCGUCCGCCUAAAAGCAAUUGGUUGGGCCAGUAUGAAAAUCCAAAUUUUGUAUCUGUGCUUACGCCACACCAGUAGGUUCCCAGCUGUAUGGAUCUCUUACUGGAGGUUUCCUGGAGGGGGACGUGUAUGAGUGAUUUAUAGGGGACUGGUUGUUUCUCUUACCCGAUGUUGUGGCUUUAUAGCACUUUGAAUUUUGUCGUUGGGCACAUGGUAAAAAAGUUUCUAAGGUUCACUUGCUCUUUAAAUUGUCACACCCCCACCACCACCCCCUUUCCUUCUUUUUAGCGUAUUCAGAGGUUUUGUCACGAUUUCUUCUGUGCCUUUGUGGAUGUAGAGAAGGUUGAAUUAGUGAUGAUUACCCAGAUUUUGUUUUAUUUUUUACAAUUCGAAUUCUAGAUAUUCUUGGUUCCCUUGUUUGUUGAGGGGAAUCUUCUUGCAUUGUAAACGUGCCUUAUAAUAAUCAUUUCCUAUUUGUGAGCUUUAUCAAA